AUGCUUGCUUCAGCAGCACAUGCACUAAAAUUGGAAUGAUAGAAGAUUUGCAUGACCCCUGCACAAGGAUGACACACAAAUUCAUGAAGCCUUCCAUAUUUUA
rnacentral:snRNA from 1 species